GGCCGCGUGGCCAAAUGGCAAGGCGCUUGACUACGAUUCAGUUCCAGCAAUGGAUCCAGUUCGUGACAUCAAGAGAUUCCAGGUUCGAUCCCUGGCGUGGUCG
rnacentral:tRNA from 1 species